GGUUAAGCGACUAAGCGUACACGGUGGAUGCCCUGGCAGUCAGAGGCGAUGAAGGACGUGCUAAUCUGCGAUAAGCGUCGGUAAGGUGAUAUGAACCGUUAUAACCGGCGAUUUCCGAAUGGGGAAACCCAGUGUGAUUCGUCACACUAUCAUUAACUGAAUCCAUAGGUUAAUGAGGCGAACCGGGGGAACUGAAACAUCUAAGUACCCCGAGGAAAAGAAAUCAACCGAGAUUCCCCCAGUAGCGGCGAGCGAACGGGGAGCAGCCCAGAGCCUGAAUCAGUGUGUGUGUUAGUGGAAGCGUCUGGAAAGGCGCGCGAUACAGGGUGACAGCCCCGUACACAAAAAUACACAUACUGUGAGCUCGAUGAGUAGGGCGGGACACGUGGUAUCCUGUCUGAAUAUGGGGGGACCAUCCUCCAAGGCUAAAUACUCCUGACUGACCGAUAGUGAACCAGUACCGUGAGGGAAAGGCGAAAAGAACCCCGGCGAGGGGAGUGAAAAAGAACCUGAAACCGUGUACGUACAAGCAGUGGGAGCACAGAGCAAUCUGUGUGACUGCGUACCUUUUGUAUAAUGGGUCAGCGACUUAUAUUCUGUAGCAAGGUUAACCGAAUAGGGGAGCCGAAGGGAAACCGAGUCUUAACUGGGCGUUAAGUUGCAGGGUAUAGACCCGAAACCCGGUGAUCUAGCCAUGGGCAGGUUGAAGGUUGGGUAACACUAACUGGAGGACCGAACCGACUAAUGUUGAAAAAUUAGCGGAUGACUUGUGGCUGGGGGUGAAAGGCCAAUCAAACCGGGAGAUAGCUGGUUCUCCCCGAAAGCUAUUUAGGUAGCGCCUCGUGAAUUCAUCUCCGGGGGUAGAGCACUGUUUCGGCAAGGGGGUCAUCCCGACUUACCAACCCGAUGCAAACUGCGAAUACCGGAGAAUGUUAUCACGGGAGACACACGGCGGGUGCUAACGUCCGUCGUGAAGAGGGAAACAACCCAGACCGCCAGCUAAGGUCCCAAAGUCAUGGUUAAGUGGGAAACGAUGUGGGAAGGCCCAGACAGCCAGGAUGUUGGCUUAGAAGCAGCCAUCAUUUAAAGAAAGCGUAAUAGCUCACUGGUCGAGUCGGCCUGCGCGGAAGAUGUAACGGGGCUAAACCAUGCACCGAAGCUGCGGCAGCGACACUAUGUGUUGUUGGGUAGGGGAGCGUUCUGUAAGCCUGUGAAGGUGUACUGUGAGGUAUGCUGGAGGUAUCAGAAGUGCGAAUGCUGACAUAAGUAACGAUAAAGCGGGUGAAAAGCCCGCUCGCCGGAAGACCAAGGGUUCCUGUCCAACGUUAAUCGGGGCAGGGUGAGUCGACCCCUAAGGCGAGGCCGAAAGGCGUAGUCGAUGGGAAACAGGUUAAUAUUCCUGUACUUGGUGUUACUGCGAAGGGGGGACGGAGAAGGCUAUGUUGGCCGGGCGACGGUUGUCCCGGUUUAAGCGUGUAGGCUGGUUUUCCAGGCAAAUCCGGAAAAUCAAGGCUGAGGCGUGAUGACGAGGCACUACGGUGCUGAAGCAACAAAUGCCCUGCUUCCAGGAAAAGCCUCUAAGCAUCAGGUAACAUCAAAUCGUACCCCAAACCGACACAGGUGGUCAGGUAGAGAAUACCAAGGCGCUUGAGAGAACUCGGGUGAAGGAACUAGGCAAAAUGGUGCCGUAACUUCGGGAGAAGGCACGCUGAUAUGUAGGUGAAGUCCCUCGCGGAUGGAGCUGAAAUCAGUCGAAGAUACCAGCUGGCUGCAACUGUUUAUUAAAAACACAGCACUGUGCAAACACGAAAGUGGACGUAUACGGUGUGACGCCUGCCCGGUGCCGGAAGGUUAAUUGAUGGGGUCAGCGCAAGCGAAGCUCUUGAUCGAAGCCCCGGUAAACGGCGGCCGUAACUAUAACGGUCCUAAGGUAGCGAAAUUCCUUGUCGGGUAAGUUCCGACCUGCACGAAUGGCGUAAUGAUGGCCAGGCUGUCUCCACCCGAGACUCAGUGAAAUUGAACUCGCUGUGAAGAUGCAGUGUACCCGCGGCAAGACGGAAAGACCCCGUGAACCUUUACUAUAGCUUGACACUGAACAUUGAGCCUUGAUGUGUAGGAUAGGUGGGAGGCUUGGAAGUGUGGACGCCAGUCUGCAUGGAGCCGACCUUGAAAUACCACCCUUUAAUGUUUGAUGUUCUAACGUUGACCCGUAAUCCGGGUUGCGGACAGUGUCUGGUGGGUAGUUUGACUGGGGCGGUCUCCUCCUAAAGAGUAACGGAGGAGCACGAAGGUUGGCUAAUCCUGGUCGGACAUCAGGAGGUUAGUGCAAUGGCAUAAGCCAGCUUGACUGCGAGCGUGACGGCGCGAGCAGGUGCGAAAGCAGGUCAUAGUGAUCCGGUGGUUCUGAAUGGAAGGGCCAUCGCUCAACGGAUAAAAGGUACUCCGGGGAUAACAGGCUGAUACCGCCCAAGAGUUCAUAUCGACGGCGGUGUUUGGCACCUCGAUGUCGGCUCAUCACAUCCUGGGGCUGAAGUAGGUCCCAAGGGUAUGGCUGUUCGCCAUUUAAAGUGGUACGCGAGCUGGGUUUAGAACGUCGUGAGACAGUUCGGUCCCUAUCUGCCGUGGGCGCUGGAGAACUGAGGGGGGCUGCUCCUAGUACGAGAGGACCGGAGUGGACGCAUCACUGGUGUUCGGGUUGUCAUGCCAAUGGCACUGCCCGGUAGCUAAAUGCGGAAGAGAUAAGUGCUGAAAGCAUCUAAGCACGAAACUUGCCCCGAGAUGAGUUCUCCCUGACUCCUUGAGAGUCCUGAAGGAACGUUGAAGACGACGACGUUGAUAGGCCGGAUGUGUAAGCGCAGCGAUGCGUUGAGCUAACCGGUACUAAUGAACCGUGAGGCUUAACCUU
rnacentral:rRNA from 1 species